rnacentral:rRNA from 1 species
UGGGAACGUACCCUUUGGUUCGGAACAACCCAGGGAAACUUGGGCUAAUACCGGAUAAGUCCGUAAGGAGAAAGAUUUAUCGCCAAAGGAUCGGCCCGCGUCUGAUUAGCUAGUUGGUAGGGUAAUGGCCUACCAAGGCUACGAUCAGUAGCUGGUCUGAGAGGAUGAUCAGCCACAUUGGGACUGAGACACGGUCCAGACUCCUACGGGAGGCAG